AUGGCUUUAACCAGCCACAGGUAGUUAUGGU
rnacentral:piRNA from 1 species